rnacentral:rRNA from 1 species
AUGCCUCCCAAAGCUCCUAAAGCCUCUAUCACUUGCAAUUGGAUGAGGUCCAAUGUCACCAACGAAACUCUAGCAGAGUUUGUCAAGUCAGGCCACCUGCCAAAGAAGGAUGUCAUGUCCUACCGCGCCCCUGACCCGUCAGAAGAGAGACCACAGCCAAAGGACGGGGAGGUGAUCAUUUUUGCGGAUCACAUGAGCCGGGGCUUCGCACCGCCCGGCUCAAAGUUUUUCAGAGACGUUCUGAAUUUCUUCGAUCUGCGACCUCAGGACAUAGGACCCAACUCAGUAUCCAAUAUCUGCAACUUCCAAGUGUUCUGCGAGGUUUACCUUGGAGAAGAACCCAGUCUGCUGCUCUUCAGAGAGCUUUUCUAUUUAAACCGCCAGAACGAGUGUGCCAACGGGCCGAGUUUGGAGCUAGGCGGCAUCUCCAUCCAGCGGCGUAGGGACUGCCUUUUCCCUUACGCAGAGCCGCCCAGCCACCCCAAGGACUGGAAUCUGACGUGGUUUUACUGCCAAGACACAUCACCGGCUGAUGAGAGUCUGUUGCCCGGCUUUCGCCCCUCGCGUCUGGAGCCGACUCACCCACUGUCAGACAAGCUGACUCCAGCGGAGCGCCAACCCCUGCUCCCUACCAUCAACAAGAUCAAGGCUCUCCUGGGCAAUGGUCUGAACGGAAUCGAUCUGGUCCGGGUCUGGAUCUCGUGGCGGGUGAUCCCAUUGAGCCGCCGCCCCGACUUAAUGUGUGAGUACACGGGCCGAAAGGAUGACCCCCAGAGACACAGCCGCAACGAUCUUCCUGAAGAUGUUGCCGAGGAGAUGACCAAGGCUCUCUUGAACGAGAGCCUGGCAGAUUGCGGGAGGACCGGGUUAGCCCCCUUCUGCAAGACCAACCCAGCCCCAGCGGCUGAUGACAAGUUCUGGCGGGUCAAAUAUGACCACGAAGUGGCCAAGAAGGCCAGAAAGGCGAAGAAAGCCGCCAAGAAAGCCGCUCCCCGCAAGAAGGGGAGUAGGCCAACUGCUUCGGAGCUGAUGCAAUUAAGCGACAACUCCGAGUCAGAG